CCUACGGGUGACAGCAGUCGAGAAUCAUUCACAAUGGGGGAAACCCUGAUGGUGCGACGCCGCGUGGGGGAAUGAAGGUCUCCGGAUUGUAAACUCUUGUCACGUGGGAGCAAAUUAAAAAGAUAGUACCACAAGAGGAAGAGACGGCUAUAUCUGUGCCCGCAGCCGCGGUAAUACAGAGGUCUCAAGCGUUGUUCGGAAUCACUGGGCGUAAAGGGUGCGUAGGCUGUUUCGUAAGUCGUGUGUGAAAGGCGCGGGCUCAACCCGCGGACGGCACAUGAUACUGUGGGACUAGAGUAAUGGAGGGGAAACCGGAAUUCUCGGUGUAGCAGUGAAAUGCGUAGAUAUCGAGAGGAACACUCGUGGCGAAGGCGGGUUCCUGGACAUUAACUGACGCUGAGGCACGAAGGCCAGGGGAGCGAAAAGGAUUAGAUACCCCUGUAGUC
rnacentral:rRNA from 1 species